UUGGAAGUCGAAUAGCAAAGCGUCUUCAUCAUUAAACGUAGGUGGAGAAAAUUUCAAGCAGAUAAACAACAGUGCUAUAAUUUCAAUAUAGCAAAAAGUAAAAAUUGAUAACCGGUUGUCUAGUGAUUUUUCCACAAAGGUUUAAAAAAAAAGAACGGUUUUUAAGGAGCAUCUUUGAAUCCCUUAUCCUUUUCUUUGUACUCCGUGACGCUUUGAGAUAACUUCUCUUGCUUUGUAAAAAACGACAAAAGCAUUCCUACUCCUGCAACUGGACAAUUUACAAUCCAAAUCAUACGAAUGGCAUUAGCAUAGGCAUUGAAUACAAAGUUCUUUUCGCUUACGUUGGGAAUUGAAGCAAUUUGAGAGUAUGAUAGCCCUGCAGAAUACUUCGUUCCUUUUAAAAGUGUCGUUAGUUGCUGAUCAUAGAUUACCGCUCCCAUCGAUAUUCCCACAGAUGCACCCAUAUUUCUUAGCAGCAUAAAUGCAGAACAGGAAGUCGCUAUCAAAGCAGGAGGUACAGAAGCUUGAACAGCAAUGAGAUUUGGUUGAAAUAGAUUUCCAGUUCCGACUGCUGUCAAAGCCAAGAAUCCCAUGGUACGUGAUAUGUCCGUGUUAUAAUAUAUCGCAAUCAUACUACCGGUACCAGCUAAUAAAACUAUCCAUCCUCCAAUCAUUGGAUAUCGAUAAUUUUUCAACUUUCCUAUUCCCAUACCACUAACAGCAGAAAGAAGUGAGGAUACAACCGCUAGAGAUAAUGUGUGAACGCCAGACAUCAAGGGCCCGUCACCUUUAAUGUUUUGGAAGUAUACUGGGAUGUAGUAAGUAAUUGUUGAGACAAUAUAAUAAUGUAAAAAGGAUGUUACCAUUACAGAUGUUAAAGAGAGCGUUUUAAAUGCCGAGGGAGUAAUAAUUCUAGUACGGGUAGUAUAGAAUUCAUUGACAACAAAACCGGCAAUGCACAGGAUACCAAAAAUUAAAUAGCACAAGACAUUGGCAUGGGCCCAAUGACCUGUUGUAGAUCCAAUAUUCAAACCAACUAAAAACAACACAACACCAGUCGUAAUGGUAAUAAUGCCCACAAAGUCAAAAUCACGUAAAAACACGCGAAACGAAACUGUAGGCUUGGGUACAAGAUUGAGGAAAAAAAUCAAAAGUGCGAGCGAAAGACCACCAGUAGGUAGAUUAAUGAAGAAAAUCCACCGCCAACUAGCCUUUUGCGAAAUUGCACCACCGAUUAAAGGACCCAUGACAGAAGCAAGGCCCCAGGUGACUCCCAUACAACCUGUGUAGUAAGGUCUAGUCUGUAAAGGAGUAAUGUCAGCUAUAACGAUUGUAACUAGAGAUGUAAUGCCUCCACCGCCGAUGCCCUGCACAGCACGGCAUAGUACAAGCCAAAGCAUAUUUUGGGCAGCACCACACAUGGCACUACCGAAGAGGAAAAGAACAAUGGAAGUAUAGAGGACAAUUUUCCUACCGACUACUUCACUCAUGAUACCACAAAAUGGAAGAAUUGAAGUUUGAGCCAAAGUAUAAGCAGUACCAAUCCACGAAUACGAUGAACCGCCAUCGAGAUUUGCUACAAUAGUGGGAAUAGCUGUAGUAAUGACAGUUUGGUCCAAGGCGGACAGGAAAAUCGACAACAUAAGUCCUGGAAUAACGAUGUACAUUCGAUUGGAGGGCAACACGAGGGUGAAAUCGGAAGAAUCAUCUUUCUCAGACGAUGCUUCAUGGGUUGAAAACCGAGACUUUAGAGAACUAGUACCAUAAAUUUGAUCUUGGGCUGAAAUAGAAAAGGCUUUUGAUUUUGCAGGCUUUAGCUCGUUCACCUCAUCAACGGUGGAAGAGAACCAUGUUACCUCAUUCCCUGUGCUAUAGAGAUUCAAUCCUCUAGUCGGAUUCAAGCUACGAUUUGGAGAAGACGAAGGGUUCAUAAUAUCUUGGAGCUGAGAGACAAAUGCAAUUGUAAAGAAAGGGGUUCACAAUUACAAAAUGCAAAACGAAAUGAAGUAAAAUUCAAAAAGAAAAUAGUAAGGAAUGCAAGAAAAAUU